rnacentral:lncRNA from 1 species
UUAAUCAAUGUUCGUUACAAAAAAUAAUAAAAAUACAAUGAAAGUUCAAGUCUCCCAGGGACGGCUUCUUUUUGGGCGGAGAUAUGCAUUGAGUCUUCGUUCCUCAUUAAGCUGGCUGGUGAGCUCUAAUACUUUCUUCCUUUCUGCACCGAACUGAGUUUCAAAAGUAUCCCUUUCCUCUCUCAACUGGAUCCAGGAUUUCUUCA